rnacentral:rRNA from 1 species
UACGUAGGGUGCGAGCGUUGUCCGGAAUUAUUGGGCGUAAAGAGCUUGUAGGCGGUUUGUCGCGUCUGCUGUGAAAAUCCGGGGCUCAACCCCGGACUUGCAGUGGGUACGGGCAGACUGGAGUGUGGUAGGGGAGACUGGAAUUCCUGGUGUAGCGGUGAAAUGCGCAGAUAUCAGGAGGAACACCGAUGGCGAAGGCAGGUCUCUGGGCCACUACUGACGCUGAGAAGCGAAAGCAUGGGGGAGCGAACAGG